rnacentral:rRNA from 1 species
UGGGGAAUUUUGGACAAUGGGCGCAAGCCUGAUCCAGCAAUGCCGCGUGCAGGAUGAAGGCCUUCGGGUUGUAAACCGCUUUUGUCAGGGAAGAAACGAGUUUCUCUAAUACAGAGACUUAAUGACGGUACCUGAAGAAUAAGCACCGGCUAACUACGUGCCAGCAGCCGCGGUAAUACGUAGGGUGCGAGCGUUAAUCGGAAUUACUGGGCGUAAAGCGUGCGCAGGCGGUUAUAUAAGACAGAUGUGAAAUCCCCGGGUUCAACCUGGGAACUGCAUUUGUGACUGUAUAGCUAGAGUACGGCAGAGGGGGAUGGAAUUCCGCGUGUAGCAGUGAAAUGCGUAGAUAUGCGGAGGAACACCGAUGGCGAAGGCAAUCCCCUGGGCCUGUACUGACGCUCAUGCACGAAAGCGUGGGGAGCAAACA